rnacentral:rRNA from 1 species
AACGAACGCUGGCGGCAGGCUUAACACAUGCAAGUCGAACGCCCCGCAAGGGGAGUGGCAGACGGGUGAGUAACGCGUGGGAACGUGCCCUUCGCUUCGGAAUAGCCCCGGGAAACUGGGAGUAAUACCGAAUACGCCGUAUUGGGAAAGAUUUAUCGGCGAAGGAUCGGCCCGCGUUAGAUUAGCUAGUUGACGGUGUAAUGGACCACCAAGGCUACGAUCUAUAGCUGGUCUGAGAGGAUGAUCAGCCACACUGGGACUGAGACACGGCCCAGACUCCUACGGGAGGCAGCAGUGGGGAAUCUUGGACAAUGGGCGCAAGCCUGAUCCAGCCAUGCCGCGUGAGUGAAGAAGGCCUUAGGGUUGUAAAACUCUUUCGCCGGAGAAGAUAAUGACGGUAUCCGGAGAAGAAGCCCCGGCUAACUUCGUGCCAGCCGCCGCGGUAAAAC